rnacentral:tRNA from 1 species
UCUAAUAUGGCAGAAUAGUGCAGUGAACUUAAGAUUCAAAUAUAAAGAAUCUCUUUUAUUAGAA